UACGUAGGUCCCGAGCGUUGUCCGGAUUUAUUGGGCGUAAAGCGAGCGCAGGUGGUUUAUUAAGUCUGAUGUAAAAGGCAGUGGCUCAACCAUUGUAUGCAUUGGAAACUGGUAGACUUGAGUGCAGGAGAGGAGAGUGGAAUUCCAUGUGUAGCGGUGAAAUGCGUAGAUAUAUGGAGGAACACCGGUGGCGAAAGCGGCUCUCUGGCCUGUAACUGACGCUGAGGUUCGAAAGCGUGGGUAGCAAACAGG
rnacentral:rRNA from 1 species